AGGCUAUGAUGACCGAUAUAAAUUUCUCGAUUCUGAUCAGGACCAAAGCAAAUCUAUUGCUCUUGAUGACAGUAUUUGUGCGUGUCUGAGCCUU